rnacentral:tRNA from 1 species
UCCCUCCUAGCUCAGUGGGUAAAGAAUCUGCCUGCAGUGCAGGAGACCUGGGUUCCAUCCCCAGGUCAGGAA